CAAUGCCAUUUGGUAUCUGACGCUUGAUCAUACAUGUGAUUCUGUGUCUUGAAACAUGGCAGAAAGUGAGGGGGAACGGAACUUUGCGACACUGGUUGCUCCUAAUGAGCAUUCAGUUACUUUAUAGCCGUUUAUAUUA